GGGAACCUCACCCGGCCCGGACACCGCGAGGAUUGACAGACUGAGAGCUCUUUCUCGAUUCGGUGGGUGGUGGUGCAUGGCCGUUCUUCGUUGGUGGAGCGAUCUGUCUGGUUAAUUCCGAUAACGAACGAGACCCCAACCUGCUAACUAGCCCUCGGGUCCUGCUUCUGUUGGGCCCGACGGAAUGAUUCGCUUCUUAGAGGGACUCGCGGCGCCUAGCCGCACGAAGGGGGGCGAUAA
rnacentral:rRNA from 1 species